CCAUCGAUCCCCUCAUUUUCCCCAUCUCCCAUUUUCUCUUCCCUGAGUGGCGGCUAGGGUUAGCGCGAUCGCCGCCUCAUCCCUGCACGCAACCUCUCCUUUCGGCUCUCCUCCGCGGCUCCGCCUCCUCCUCUUGCGGCAUCCAACCCAUCGUCUUCUCCUACUUCCCUCUCUUAUUCUUCUGUGCCUCGACGAGGUGGGCAAGCCGGUGCACACACAAAGGGUGGUUGCGGCUGCGGCUCCGAUGCGGGCGCCGUGGAGGUGGAGUCGGAGCUGCAGCAGAAGGAGGUGGAUGGCCGCGACAACAGCUUUAGCUUCGAUGAGUUCCAUCACCUCCAUUGCUAUCUCAGGUUAGCCGAUUGAUGUAUUUGAUUGCUGGCCCUUUUGUGUUGGCUGAUGGUGGCGAGAUGAAAUAAGAAUUAAACCUGAUGCUGGGACAAUAAGUAUUUGUAUAUAGAUCCACUAAACAUUGUAUUGAAAUAGCAGGCUACAUAUCUAUCUAAUAUGCAUCUGUGGUACAAGGUGAAGCUUGUUUCCUGACAGAGAACAAUAAAGAUAAGUUGGUGACACAAAGUACUGAAUAAAAAACACUUCUAAUGAUCUAUAUAAUGUGAAAUCUUUUUGUAUGUGUAGAUUUAUCGAAUAAUAUCAUAAUUCUGAUAUGUAGUUUCCUUCUGUUGGGUAUCUCACGUAGCAUGAUAUGAAGCUUCUGAAUAAUUGGUUGCAGAGUUCUCGUAUGUGUCUUGGAGUUCCAAACUUCACAUUCAUUGAGCUUAAUUUUUAUAUAUCGCUUAUGUCUUUCCAGUCAUGCAGUCGCAGGUUCUCCAUUUCAUGAUUUUAAUAGUUGACGGGGUGAGAAAUUUCAUGGCAAGAGCCAUGGUUUAUCUCAGAUGUGUAAAGGGAAAUAUAUUUGUUGACCCAAAAAUCACACUACACUGUUGCAAUUUCUCUGUCGAAAAGGUAUGCAGAAGCCAAUAGUACACAAAAUAUUUCUGUCGCCUAGAGAUUUACUGGUUGUCUAAAAAAGCACCCAAAACUGAUUGAAAAAGAAAUAGAUCCUGCUAAGUUGCAUCCAUUUGAUAUUUCUAUGUUUGGUUGGACGUUCUCCAAAGUAAAUUUGGGAGAACAAUAAACCAUACUUUCUAUGUUUUGAAACUAGAGCUGGCCAUGAUUAAUUCUUUUCAAGUUGAUAGUCUAUCAGAGUUUGAAUUUGCUUUUGUAUAGCAAUAUGGAAGUAUAUUAUUUCAUCAUAUUUUCCUAAAGUAGCUUCUGAUUUGUUCACAUUUGUAGAACUACACAAUCUGCACAUUCCUUCUCUUCUCCUAAUCAAUUUCAUCUCAAAUUAGGCUUUAUCCCCUGAUUAGCAUUCUGAGCUACUUAAAUUUCUUCGCCCACAUGUUUGAUUUAGGUUUUUGUUUAGACAUGACAAAUUUUUGCAAGUUAUAGACGCCACGCCUGCCGCUGUCGGGGAGCUCUUGCCUGCGCUGCAAGCCUCAUGACCUUGCAAACUCGCUCGUGCUGCUUAUACGAUACGGCCUCUCCCUACUCAGGAUGGACUGCUUCGUGCAGAUUCACUCUUCUUUGCCUGAAGGCUCCUAUGUAUCCAGGACCGGCACAAGGAAAAUUCUGGGAUGAAGAAAAAAAGCGAAAAUGCAAAUAGAUGAGAAAUCCCAACUUAUUCCUUUUGCCAUUUCUGUAACCAAAGCUAUUGGCUGGCCAACACAAAGGAGCUGAAAUUUCAUAGCGACAAAAAUAGCUGAAUUAAUCUUUAUACAUAUGGCAGGUGCUGGAGGUACCAUGCAAGCAAGCAUGGCGACCGCGAUCAUGCUGCAGUGGCUGGGUAUAUCCCCUCCUGCUAGCCGAGGAUGGGCUCGAUGAUGUGGCUCCUACCCCUACACAGGUAUAUUCCCACAUUGAACUCGAUUAUUGCAAUGAUUGGGUUGAUUUGGACAUACUGUGCCUUGAAUGACUUUUCCCGUUGGGCACUUCAAAUGAUGGAAGCCUCUUCGGACCCUUCCACCUCUCCGGCCUCACCACUGGAGACUCGGAUGCAAGAACCGCCACUGCCGCCGCCGUGUCUGUCGGUGACGCUCACACAAGAAUCCAGAGGCAGUACCUUGGUCCUCUCCCUGAGAACAACAACUCUCUCAUGAUGCGGGACUGACGCCACCGUCCAUGCCAUGUUCUGGCUGAUCCCCAAGGCUCUUUGCCGAUGUCCAACCAGCGCCACACAGCCAAUGGUACUGCCGACAUGAGGACGCCCACCCCCGUGUUGAUCGAGCUUUUUGACCUGAGCCUCAUGGACAAGGUCAUACGGGCAUCUGAUUUUGAUUUGCUAUGUGCUCUCUUUUCACAAGUGUAGCUUUUUGUCUCGUUUCAUGUCUCGUUUGGGGGAGCUUCAUGGUCAUGGUCGAUGAGCCUAGUUCGUCUCGGACUAACAUUGAGGAAAAGUAGUUUGGAGAGGGUA